rnacentral:rRNA from 1 species
CCUACGGGAGGCAGCAGUGAGGAAUAUUGGUCAAUGGACGAGAGUCUGAACCAGCCAAGUAGCGUGAAGGAUGACUGCCCUAUGGGUUGUAAACUUCUUUUAUAUGGGAAUAAAACGUUCCACGUGUGGGAUUUUGUAUGUACCAUAUGAAUAAGGAUCGGCUAACUCCGUGCCAGCAGCCGCGGUAAUACGGAGGAUCCGAGCGUUAUCCGGAUUUAUUGGGUUUAAAGGGAGCGUAGGUGGAUUGUUAAGUCAGUUGUGAAAGUUUGCGGCUCAACCGUAAAAUUGCAGUUGAAACUGGCAGUCUUGAGUACAGUAGAGGUGGGCGGAAUUCGUGGUGUAGCGGUGAAAUGCUUAGAUAUCACGAAGAACUCCGAUUGCGAAGGCAGUUCACUGGACUGCAACUGACACUGAGGCUCGAAAGUGUGGGUAUCAAACAGGAUUAAAUACCCCGGUAGUC